rnacentral:rRNA from 1 species
GACGAACGCUGGCGGCGUGCCUAAUACAUGCGAGUCGAGCGCUGAAGGUUGGUACUUGUACCGACUGGAUGAGCAGCGCACGGGUGAGUAACGCGUGGGGCAUCUGCCUUUGAGCGGGGGACAACCUUUGGAAACGAAUGCUAAUACCGCAUAAAAACUUUAAACACAAGUUUUAAGUUUGAAAUAUGCAAUUGCGUCACUCACUGAUGAUCUCGCGUUGUAUUAGCUAGUUGGUGAGGUAAAGGCUCAUCAAGGCGAGGAUACAUAGCCGACCUGAGAGGGGGAUCGGCCACAUUGGGAGUGAGACACGGCCCAAACUCCUACGGGAGGCAGCAGUAGGGAAUCGUCGGCAAUGGGCGAGAGUAUGACCGAGCAGGGCCGCGUGAGUGAAGAAGGUGUUCGGAUCGUAAAACUCUGUUGGUGGAGAAGAACGUGGGUGAGAGUGGAAAGCGCAUCAAGUGACGGUAACUACACAGAAAGGGACGGCUAACUACGU